rnacentral:lncRNA from 1 species
CCGAGGCGGCAGAAGCUGGCCCGGUCGCUGUAGACUCUUGGACGCAGUAGCAGCGCUCGCUCAGCCUCUUCUGCCUCCCCCACGUCCACACAGAGAGAAAUCCAACCCUUGGCUGAGGCCUGAAAGAAGACCUGCAUUCACGCCGCGGAGGGGAGUGCUGCUCAGCUGUCAAAAGAACAAGCCCAGCAGAGGCAGGGUCAGAAGGCUCUCCCUUUGUAGCCUAUGCACACCUGGAACUCCCUGUGUAGUCCAUGGAAACGCUUCUGAUUCGGCCUCCUAAAUUCUUGGGAAGAUGGACUGCUGGGGUGGGGCACUUGCUGCUAAGCCUGAAGACCUGAAAUCACUCUCCGGAACUCACGUGGUAGGAGAGAGAGAACCAACUCCUGAAAGUUGUCCUCUGACCGCCACAUGUAAUGGGGACACAGGCAACUUGUCUAGUAGGCCUAUGUAUACAGCUGAGUGUUUGGACCAAUCAUGGCCAUUUGUUUGGGC